rnacentral:lncRNA from 1 species
AGAAGAUUGGGAUGUUAACAUCACAAGAAUGUAUUGAGUCAUUUCCGCAUCAUCUUAACCACACUAUGACAACACUAGCUUUUCUUUGAUGCUGUUUCCAGGUGUAAGUACAGAGCUGGGGUUGGGAGAGACUGGUAGCUUCCUGUAUAUAUGAAAUACAGGAUACAAUUUAAAAUGGCUGUUUGUGAAUUCAUAAAUGUAAGUAAUUGGAACAAAGCUCAAAACUCUCUUUUUUGUUUAAUUCUUCUACAGGCUACACACAAGUCCAAAAGGGAUAGAACUUUGUGACUAUUUUUGACAGUGUCGAGUGGCCCCUCAUCUUUGGGCAUUUUGGAGCAGAUAGGGACAUAGCAACAUAGCUGUACAAGCUGAAUCUGCUACGUCUUCAAUAUAAUUUCCUAAUUAUGACUUUUUUCUUCCUUCGUAGAAAGAUCCACAUAUCCUCUAUGAAGCAGCGGGUAGAAGAAACAAUGGCAGCGGCAGCUUUUUAAAAAGAGAGAGAACAUUCACAAACGUGAAGACUUUGUGUGGGAAAAUAUGUCUUUCCAAAUUCAAAAGAAUGAGUAUUUGGAACAUUGAUCGUUCUGCCUCUCUAUAGCUUUUCAAAUAGUCCCACAGAUUUCAAAUGUGUUUAAUGAAUCAGGAAUAGAGCUAAAUGAAAGAGCCUUAUUUGACUGAGAGAUUAAAGAGAAAUUGCAAUUUGUUUUACAAAACAGUGAGAACAUCAAGGAGUACUCACAACAACUGCCAGUGCCUCUUGGGAUCAAAUAAUUUGGAAGCAUGAAGUGCCCAAAGAACAAGAGAGGAAGCAAUUUGCAGGAAGGAGUUUGCUACUUUGCAAGAAAUUUAUUAGAAUACCAGUUCUCAGGGGGAAAGACUUCUAAGAAUUCAGGGCAAUUAGACUGUGUUUUCAAAAAAUGUUUUGGACAGGGAAUAUAAUAAAAUAAUCCAGUAUCUGCCACUCAUCACUCGGUCAACACUAGCGUUAAGUAAAGUUAUUACAACUGUAAGAUAUUCAAGAAAGGAUAGUCAUCAACAUGCGUUUAAUAUUCCUCUUCUGAUUUGUGUAGUUAGCAUUGUCUAAUCCUCACUGUGUAACACUGAAAUUGCCAUUUAUGUUUGUUUUUUUAAAAGGUACUCGAUUCUGUACUUGAGAUUCAGUGGUUGAGAAGCUUCACGAUUUCAUGAAAAUCCUUUGACACCAUGAAAAAAUGUGGUACUGUACAUUCCACUGGUGGAGAUAAAAUGGAGUGGAGUCGUGGACAGGCUAUGAGUGGAACAUAGCAGGAUCAUGUUUAUUGUGUAUCUAUAAUCCUCCAGACCCCACAGCCACCCCCCUGUUGAUGGUGGAACUUGACGUCAACUGCAGAACUGGGACAAGAAAUGUGGAUCCCAUUGGCUGCUGCUGGUGUGUGAUUGAAAAAUGAAAAUGAACACUAGAGAGUUGUUGUUGUUGGUGGUGGUGGUGGUGGUGUGUGUGUGUGUGUGUGUGUGAGAGAGAGAGAGAGAGAGAGAGAGAGAGAGAGAGAGAGCGCAUACAAAACAGGAUAGUAUUGGAUUGCCUUUGGCAUUCAGGUUUAAAUCCUGAUACCAUUCUGUUUUAUUAUUUAUUGAAUUUUGAAAAGUUUUCAAGAUUUUUACAGUAAGAGAAUCCCCCUUCCUUCACUUCCCAUAAGACCUUCCUUCACUUCCCAUAAGAUGUCAAGGAGAUAAAGAACUUCACAACUUUUAGAAGACAUCUGAAGACAGUCCUGUAUCAAGAAGUUUUUAAUGUUUGAUGUUAUAUUAUGUUUUAUUAUGUGUUGGAAACUGCCUAGAGUGGCUGGGGCAACCCAGCCAGAUGGGCGGGGUAUAAAUAAUAAAAUUGUUGUUGUUGUUACUGUUAGAAUUGGUGGC